GGGGGGAGGCCGGAUCCUGAGCUGUGUCCCGGCGCCCUGUGCUCCGGGGCCUGCCUGCACUGUUGGAUUCGCACUCCCUGGUGCAGCGCCCU
rnacentral:pre_miRNA from 1 species